CUUAUGAUGGCGACCGGCGCACGGGUGCGUGACGCGUAUGCAACCUACCUUUUACAGGGGCAUAACACUGAGAAAUUGGUACUAAUUCCCCAUAAUAUCUGAGACGGCAUCGUUUUGGGUUGAAAACUCCGGUGGUAAAAGAUGGGCAUGCGUUGUAUUAGCUAGUUGGUGAGGUAACGGCUCACCAAGGCGACGAUACAUAGGGGGACUGAGAGGUUAACCCCCCACAUUGGUACUGAGACACGGACCAAACUCCUACGGGAGGCAGCAG
rnacentral:rRNA from 1 species